rnacentral:misc_RNA from 1 species
GGAAGGAUCAUUAAUGAAUUGUAAAGGAGGGUUGAUGCUGGCUUUAUUGCAUGUGCUCGCCCUCCGACAAUCCUUAUCCAUACACCUGUGCACCUCUGAGGGGUUUUCCGUUAAUUCGGAUUCCCUCUCUUUUUACACAAACCCUCUUUUGUAACAUCGAACGUGAAUUAGUGCCGAUAAGGCCUUAAAACAAAAUACAACUUUUAACAACGGAUCUCUUGGCUCUCGCAUCGAUGAAGAACGCAGCGAAUUGCGAUAAGUAAUGUGAAUUGCAGAAUUCAGUGAAUCAUCGAAUCUUUGAACGCACCUUGCGCUCCCUGGUAUUCCGGGGAGCACGCCUGUUCGAGUGUCGUGAAAUUCUCAAGCUGGGAUUGUUUUUUUUCCCAGUUUGGAUUUGGACUUUGCCGUGUAAUGACGGCUAGUCUUAAACGUAUUAGCUGAAUCUUGGUUAUGAGAUUGGUUCUACUCAGCGUGAUAAUUAUCUGACCGCUGAGGACAUCUUUCGGGAUGGCCAGACUUGUCCUCGAGUCGCUUCUAAUCUGGUUAAAAGUAGAGUAACAUCUACUUUUCCGCUUUUUUCAACUUUGACCUCGAAUCAGGCGGGACUACCCGCUGAACUUAAGCAUAUCAAUAAGCGGAGGAAAAGAAACUAACAAGGAUUCCCCUAGUAACGGCGAGUGAAGCGGGAUGAGCUCAAAUUUAAAAUCUGGCAGUCUUUGAUUGUCCGAGUUGUAAUCUAGAGAAGCGUUUUCCGCGCUGGACUGUGUACAAGUUUCCUGGAUACGGAACAUCAUAGAGGGUGAGAAUCCCGUCCUUGACACAGACUCCCAGUGCUCUGCGAUGCGCUCUCGACGAGUCGAGUUGUUUGGGAUUGCAGCUCAAAAUGGGAGGUAAAUUCCUUCUAAAGCUAAAUAUUGGCGAGAGACCGAUAGCGAACAAGUACCGUGAGGGAAAGAUGAAAAGCACUUUGGAAAGAGAGUUAAACAGUACGUGAAAUUGUUAAAAGGGAAACGAUUGAAGUCAGUCGCGUCUACUUGGACUCAGCCUUACCUCGGUUUGGUGCAUUUCCUUGUUGACGGGCCAGCGUCCAUGUUGUCCGUCGGAAAAGGGGUGAAGGAAUGUGGCUCUUUCGGGAGUGUUAUAGCCUUUGCUCGUAUACGGCGUGUGAUAUGGAGUGGUACAGCAUGCUUCGGCGGUGCUUGUGCUGGCAUAAUGGCUUUAAACGACCCGUCUUGAAACACGGACCAAGGAGUCUAACAUGUCUGCGAGUGUUUGGGUGGAAAACCCGAGCGCGCAAUGAAAGUGAUAGCUGGGAACCCUUCACGGGAGGCACCGGCGCCCCGAGCUGACCUUUUGUGAAGCAUCGGAGGUAGAGCAUAUAUGUUGGGACCCGAAAGAUGGUGAACUAUGCCUGCAUAGGGCGAAGCCAGAGGAAACUCUGGUGGAGGCUCGUAGCGAUUCUGACGUGCAAAUCGAUCGUCAAAUGUGGGUAUAGGGGCGAAAGACUAAUCGAACCAUCUAGUAGCUGGUUCCUGC